rnacentral:tRNA from 1 species
AAGGAGUAAAUUGUGGCUGCUAACUAUGAUUUGGGGGAAACUCCACUCUUUU